UUAACAAGUGACUGUGCGUUGCAGUUGUUUUUGUCGGAAUCUUAAAGUAGGAUAAUAUUUUCUCUGUUUGAUGUGAAUUUUCCGUAAUUUUGAAAACGUAUUAAGGUGCGACGUGCAUUUGAAAGGAACCGAAAUAAAUUUAAUAUACUGUGUUGAAUAAAAAUCUUGAUCAUAUCUAUUUCCAGAGCGUGGAGCAGAUACAAUACUGGAAAUGAACCCCUAUUCACACGACGCAUUGGAGGAGUUCAACUGCCCGCGGCUAGAAAAUAUUUGGAGACUCAAUAGACGUGAUUAACGACGUACAAACAACAAACAUAUUCACGUAUUUUUGACCUCGCAGUCUGUAAGGUCAAGAAUCACCAGCCCUCUACCCUCUAACGGCAGGUUCCAAUCCUCUGUUUCCAGUUGUUCUGUAGGAAGGCAUGAUGCAACCAGCAUUCAAGCUGACAUGGAAUUGAUUCUUCCGUUAAUCCGUGGAGACCCAACGUUCGUGAAUGCUGACAACAAUCUGGAUUCAAGAAUUGCAGAAAUAUCCCGCCGGAGGUUGUGAGCGAGCGCGAGCGAGGGACAAAGGCAAUUUAUAAUGUGGUUAAGGUGAAUGCUCGUAACUGGUUCAGGAGUACCGUCGUAUCCUGAUGCUGCGUCAUGGAGUAAAAGUGUACGGACACCAACCUACGAGUAAACUCAUCGAGGGUAUUGGUUCUCACUGGUAUAAUGCCACGCGGGUUGCGACAUCUAUAAAACUGAUGAAUUCGACCCCAGUAACCGUUACCUGAAGGUCGUAUCCGAAUCUUGCCAGGUCUAAAUCCCUGUCGCCGUAUACCUGUAGUGUCGUCGUACAAGUCGUUAACGCUUGCACUUUCUACGCUGAAAGCAAAAGUGUAUUUUGAUGUCCAAUUAACCGGUCUACCAUCGAGAAAAUGAUUCUUCUCUUUUGACGAAACGAGCUAUUCGCAUCUUAAUUCGUGGAAUUCCAGAAGGUUUUGAAAAUAAAUUCGAUGACUAAAACUUUCUUGAACAUAUCCAAUUCGUGCAAGCGGUGUCGGAAGAUUCGUUCUUUGUCUCAAACUACUGCAGCAGUCGAGGAAUGGCGGUCAACCUGUAACUGAGUCAAGCGUGCUUAAAAUUACUCAUCAAAAGUCCUUGCAGCAAAUUUCUUGCCAGUGGCAUCAUUGAAUUCGUGUCACCAAGGACUUUUGUCACACAUUUCGAUGGAACGAUCAUUAGCGAUAGAUUUCUGUAAAGUC
rnacentral:lncRNA from 1 species